CCUACGGGCGGCAGCAGUGAGGAAUAUUGGUCAAUGGCCGAGAGGCUGAACCAGCCAAGUCGCGUGAGGGAAGACGGCCCGACGGGUUGUAAAACGCGUUUGUCGGGGAGCAAAGCGAGGCACGUGUGACUCAUUGAGAGUACCCGAAGAAAAAGCAUCGGCUAACUCCGUGCCAGCAGCCGCGGUAAUACGGAGGAUGCGAGCGUGAUGCGGAUUGAUUGGGUUAAGGGGGUGCGCAGGCGGAGGUGCAAGUCAGCGGUCAAAUUGCGGGGCUCAACCCCGUACUGCCGUUGACACUGCAUCCCUUGAGUGCGCGAGAGGUAUGCGGAAUGCGUGGUGUAGCGGUGAAAUGCAUAGAUAUCACGCAGAACUCCGAUUGCGAAGGCAGCAUACCGGCGCGCAACUGACGCUCAUGCACGAAAGCGUGGGUAUCGAACAGGAUUAGAUACCCGAGUAGUC
rnacentral:rRNA from 1 species